AGUGUAACAAUGUCCUUUGUCUCUGACCCAGGCAUCUCUUGUCUUCUUCCAGAAACCAUGACACUAUGGCAGGCCAACUUACUAGCUUUCAAGUAAGGUAACAUCUCAGACCAUCAUAGGUUUUGACAGGGGAAACUCUGAAGGACCACAGGAGUUGGAGGUUCCACGUAUCUCUAAGUAGUAACAUACGAUGGGUCCAAAACAGAAGAAAGAGAACUCAAGAUUCCCGAGCCACAGAGCUGUUGAUUGGAGGCUGACUCAGAGAAACCCUGGAUUCAGUGACAUACAGAGACAACAGGUACAGGAUCAGUAUGGGUUUUAAUUGAGGGGCUCGGCACCAAAUGACAGACUUGACACAUCCACCCCCACCAUGGAUGCUGUCCGUCCACUGUUGCACAAUGUCCUUCAGUGUCUAAUUUACAGAUCCAGCUGUAUUUCCCCUUCCACCUGCAUCCCUGAAGUUCCUCCCACCUGAAAACUUCACCUGACCCAAGAAAGCAAAGGAAAAAACCCGGAGAGCCAGCUCAUAGUCUGGUUCACUGUUUAACAGCCAGAAGCCAGAGCCUGCGUACUAGAAGUGGAUGCCCAGGAAGUACUUGUGAGCUGACUAAGAAUGUAAGAACGCCACCCACUUCAUUCAGGAAAGUGAGGCAGGAUUCCAUGGAGUAUGAAUGACUGCACAUGGAACAAGCAGGUUAUCAUUUAUAUUCAGCAAGGGACCUCCAUGAACAGGACAUUUGGGGAGCUGCUAUCAAACAUCAGAACUUCUGACACUGUGCACACAGUCUUAUAUUGUGCCUUGUCUGUUGUGAUGUCUCACUACAGUAAUGAUUAAGAUGAUGAGCACUUAUGCGUUGAUAUUGCAAUAUGUCUGCGUAAGAACUAUCGCUAAGGCAGGUUAUAUUAUUACCCUCAGUGUAUAGGUAAGGAGGUUAGACUGAUAACUUACCCAGUGUCACAUAGGUAGUAA
rnacentral:lncRNA from 1 species